AAAUAAAGAGAAGAAAGAAAAGACAAUGAGUGUCCCCAUUUGAAACAAAGAAAUGACAAAUUUUCUAAAAAUGACAGUCAACUCUAAUGAUUAUGCCAUGGAUUUUGGAUUAAGCUACCUGAUCUUUCCAUCCAACCUUUCUACCAAUUAUUGUUGAGUUAAUGGCCUUGAAACUGAGUUGUUUCCUUAGGCCAAUUGCAUUGAGACCUCAUUCGGCUAGUGACAUUUUGAAGGGUCUUUCCCUCAGCU
rnacentral:lncRNA from 1 species